rnacentral:rRNA from 2 species
AAAUUGAAGAGUUUGAUCAUGGCUCAGAUUGAACGCUGGCGGCAGGCCUAACACAUGCAAGUCGAACGGUAACAGGAAGCAGCUUGCUGCUUUGCUGACGAGUGGCGGACGGGUGAGU